GCCUGUUUUUUUCAAAACAUGGCCUUUUGUUGGUCAAUUUAUAAGAGGUCGAUUCCUGCCCGGUGGAGUUUAAUCUAAACGGCCGCGUUUUACGCGUUAAGGUAGCAUAAUAGCUCGUCUUUUAAUUGGAGGAUGGAAUGAAUGGAGUGACGAUGGAAAGUCUUUAUUAAAAACACUGAUCGAAGUUUACUUUUAAGUGAAAAGGCUUAAAUGGAGUUGUUAGACGAGAAGACCCUGUUGAGCUUAGUAAUCUGAAUCAUAAUUGGAUCUCAGAUAUAUUUGUUCGGGGUAGAAUGGAAGGGAAUAAAAUGCCUUCUUUAGUAAAAUAAGGAUCCAGCAUGGCUGGUAAGAAGAAGAUAGUUACCACAGGGAUAACAGCGCAAUCUUUCUGUAAAGUUCAGAUUUAAGGAGGGGUUUGCGACCUCGAUGUUGAAUUAAGAUUUCUACCAGGAGCAGCAAUUUGGUUAGUAGGACUGUUCGUCCUUUAAAAUCUUACGUGAUCUGGGUUCCAGAC
rnacentral:rRNA from 1 species